AGGGUCCUCAGCUUUUCUUUCCAUAGGUUCCAGAGGCCGUAGUUUCUUUCUCAAGCCCCUAGCCUGGCACGCAGUAGGUGCUCAACAGAAUGAAGGGAGG
rnacentral:sRNA from 1 species